rnacentral:tRNA from 1 species
GGAGAGGUGGCCGAGUGGUUGAAGGCGCACGCUUGGAAAGCGUGUGUAGGUUAACCCCUACCGAGGGUUCGAAUCCCUCCCUCUCCGCCA